rnacentral:rRNA from 1 species
UACGUAGGGCGCAAGCGUUGUCCGGAAUUAUUGGGCGUAAAGAGCUCGUAGGCGGUUUGUCACGUCGGAUGUGAAAGCCCGGGGCUUAACCCCGGGUCUGCAUUCGAUACGGGCAGACUGGAGUGUGGUAGGGGAGAUCGGAAUUCCUGGUGUAGCGGUGAAAUGCGCAGAUAUCAGGAGGAACACCGAUGGCGAAGGCGGAUCUCUGGGCCUUGCCUGACGCUGAGGCGCGAAAGCUAGGGGAGCGAACAGG